AUAAAAUACCAAAUAAAUUCAAUUAAAUCAAAAAUAAGGAAAAAAAUGAAAUAAAAACAAACCUCCCCCUCAAUACACGUCUAAACCGUUUCCCCCUCUCCCCACUCCCUAAAUCUCUCCAUAUCAAUUAACCACCCCCCUCUCUAUAAUACUUCUUCACAAUCAUUCUUCCCUAUUUUAAUUCGUUGCAACGACUCACAAGAACAAGACAACUCUCACUCAAUAGAGUACAAGCAGCAGCUCAAAGAUCGAAUUCGAAUUCAAGUCGUUUGCAAGGACAAAACUACCUUUCUCUCCAUUCCAAUCUAGUCGAGUUCAAGAAACUGAAAAAUUAAGAGGGGAGAGAACGGAAGCCGAAAUCUCUUUUGUUCGAGCCAUUUUAUUCCCAAUCAAAGGUGAAUCAUUGCAAGUGAAUCGCGAACGCAAAGGAAAGAAAAUAGUUUCGGAUUAAACACUCGAGGUUGAGCGGCGACGAGGAUGUGGUGGUGUUGAGCAAAUGAAUAC